rnacentral:misc_RNA from 1 species
GUGGAAGUGUUUACAAGUCUUUUAAUAAUUAUGAUGAAACUUUUUAUGCUUACGAUCAAUAUUGUAACGAUAAAAAGAUAGGUGAAGGCACAUCUGGAGUGCUUGGCGUUGAGAAAAUCGACAUACAAGAAUACGAAGAGACAAAUAAGAAUACUCAGGUCUGUUUUCUCGCUGGAGUUUUAGUAGGGCUGAUAAUAUCUAAAUCCAAU